CUCCAUCUCUUAAAAUCACACCCCGCCCACAGGUCAUCCAUGAGGAGUCUUUAGACUGACUGGGCUCUCUUCACACUGACAUUUUUUUAAUGUAUCUGUCUCCUCCCCCAUCCCAGGCCAGGGACGCCUCGUGGCAGGUCUCCGUCUUGCUCAUCUGUGCUUCUCCCAGGAUCUGGCAGAGUACUUGCCAUAAACCUAGCAGUCCAUGACUUUAAAAGAAUGAAAUUCAAACAGAAAGAACAGGUUCCUGGGCCAGAACAGCAGUUCUCAGAGCUCACCUCCUGCCUGCUGAGCAGUUCCCGUGUUCAAAUUCCACACUGCUUCCUCACCUUCGCCAAGCCACUUCCACCUCCUGUGCCCUGGCCUUCAUUCAAGCUGGAAUGGGCUGAGGAACAUCAUACAGACAAAGAAGUUGGCAUGACCUUUGUCAGUUUUGAGGGAGACCUUUGGCAAGCGGUCUCUGUCAAGCUCACAUUUGCUUGUAGCCCUAAACUCGUUUAAACGAAUAGAGCAG
rnacentral:lncRNA from 1 species